rnacentral:misc_RNA from 1 species
GAUGAAGAACGUAGCGAAAUGCGAUAAGUAGUGUGAAUUGCAGAAUUCAGUGAAUCAUCGAAUCUUUGAACGCACAUUGCGCCCGCUAGUAUUCUGGCGGGCAUGCCUGUUCGAGCGUCAUUUCAACCAUCAAGCCCCAGGCUUGUGUUGGGGGCCUGCGGCUGCCGCAGCCCCUGAAAAGCAGUGGCGGGCUCGCUGUCAUUCCGAGCGCAGUAGUUACAUCUCGCUCCGGGCGUGGCGGUGGGCACCUGCCGUGAAACACUCCUUCUAAGGUUGACCUCGGAUCAGGUAGGAAUACCCGCUGAACUUAAGCAUAUCAAUAAGCGGAGGA